rnacentral:rRNA from 1 species
CUACGGGCGCUGCAGUAAGGAAUAUUGCACAAUGGGGGGAACCCUGAUGCAGCAACGCCGCGUGGAGGAUGACGCAUUUCGGUGUGUAAACUCCUUUUAUAUGUCAAGAAAAUGACGGUAGCAUAUGAAUAAGCACCGGCUAACUCCGUGCCAGCAGCCGCGGUAAUACGGAGGGUGCAAGCGUUACUCGGAAUCACUGGGCGUAAAGGACGCGUAGGCGGGUUGGAAAGUCAGGUGUGAAAUCCUACAGCUUAACUGUAGAACUGCACUUGAAACUUCUAAUCUAGAGUAUGGGAGGGGGAGAUGGAAUUAGUGGUGUAGGGGUAAGAUCCGUAGAUAUCACUAGGAAUACCUAAAGCGAAGGCGAUCUCCUGGAACAUUACUGACGCUAAGGCGUGAAAGCGUGGGGAGCAAACAGGAUUAGAUACCCCCGUAGUC